UACGUAGGGUGCAAGCGUUGUCCGGAAUUAUUGGGCGUAAAGAGCUCGUAGGCGGUCUGUCGCGUCGGAUGUGAAAAUCCAGGGCUCAACCCUGGACCUGCAUUCGAUACGGGCAGACUAGAGUUCGGCAGGGGAGACUGGAAUUCCUGGUGUAGCGGUGAAAUGCGCAGAUAUCAGGAGGAACACCGGUGGCGAAGGCGGGUCUCUGGGCCGAUACUGACGCUGAGGAGCGAAGGCGUGGGGAGCAAACAGG
rnacentral:rRNA from 1 species